ACUAUUAAUGUAAAAUAAAUACAGUAGCUAUCGUUUCAUUUAUUUCCUUUAAGGAGCAAAGUCUCGGUUAGUUUGCUAUUAAUGGGCCCCACCGAUUUGUAUAAGUAAAAAAAAAAGUUGACGUUAUUCUCUUCCUUUUAUACAAUAUCUUCUUCUCGUUUAUAUCUCUUAUUUCCUUCAAUUUCUCCCAAAUUUUCUCCCCAAAAUUAGUUUGAAAUUUCAAAUCUCCACCAGCACGUUCUCAAUCGCGGUUUCAAAAUCCCUUCAAAAAUUUCAGAGUUUUCCUUCAAACAAUGGAUGCCCAGUCUCCAUCUAAAAGAUUCACAAGAGGUUCAAUGUCCAAAUCCAACGCAAUGCAAGAGAUCAAAUCCAAAUUG